CGAGUCACACUUGGAGCCAGGCUCGGAAAGUGUCAAGAAUAGCGUCUGGCACAGUAUUUCUGUACUACCGCUUCCUGCCCAUGCUGAAACAAGGAAGGAUAAGUCCAUGCAGCCUGCUUCAUGGGUUUCUUCUACUUCACAAGGAGCAUGCUGUGAAGGCUUUUUUGAGUCCCAGACAAAUGCUUUGAUAUCUUCUGAUAAACAGAUACUUCAAAGGAAAGGACAAAAUCUUCCAAACUGCCUGCCAGUCCUGCUUGCUGCAUUCAGCUCCCAGUUUCUGUGUCACAGAAACCAUCUCACAAGACUUCAGCUACUUAACUCAGAAGCUAAGAUUGUCUACCUGAUGUGACGCAAGAAUGAAAUGGCACUAUUUACUCUUGUCCAUCUCAAAAUUAAUCUUUUCUUAAACAACAUCAAGGAGAAUGAGAUGCUUUAGCUUUCUUCAGUUUGAAAGAUGUUGUUGGGCUGCAGAGUAAGAGCAUUAUCUGACACAAGUCUGCAGAACUCCCAGAGCUGGGAUGUGAUGGGUAAGAGAUUGUCUAAUAACAUAGUAGGCUCAGAGGCACCUGAAACGAAGCCAAGAUGAGCAUCUGUACUAGAAAUUCCACCUCUUGAUCACCUCUUGUUCUACCUCUUACAGAAUCUGAGCUUUCAAUUUUGGUUUUCACUGAAAGGCUUUCCUGCUUAUUCUAAGAUGCUGCAUAUGGUAUAAGGGGAAAUAGACAGUCUUUGGAUAUUUCUCAGCUGAACACCUAUGAUGCAAAAUUGUAGAGAAUGAAAUUCAAUAGCUGA